CCCUUAGACGUUCUGGGCCGCACGCGCGCUACACUGACCAGUGCAACAAGCAUCCGUCCUUGGCCGACAGGCUCGGGCAAUCUUUGAACGCUGGUCGUGAUGGGGAUAGACCUUUGCAAUUAUGGGUCUUCAACGAGGAAUUCCUAGUAAACGCAAGUCAUCAGCUUGCAUUGAUUACGUCCCUGCCCUUUGUACACACCGCCCGUCGCACCUACCGAUUGAAUGGUCCGGUGAAAUCUCGGGACGGCGGCUUGGUCGCUUGCGUCCGACUGCUGAAACUUGAUUAAACCAUAUCAUUUAGAGGAAGGUGAAGUCGUANCA
rnacentral:rRNA from 1 species